CGAGAAUAAGUUUUCAUCUCAAAGCUUACAUGGUAUCAGAGCUGGGUUUAGCUUGAGUCACUUCCUACUGACCAUGGUGAAGAUGGCCAUGAUUGGAGCUACAAGGAGCAGCUGUUCUUCAGGUGAUGCUACCGAAGAAGAUGAAUCCAGUCCGGCAACUUUGCCUCCUAGUUCAGAUUUAUCUCAUUCUCUACAAUAACAGUUCACAAAUUAAAUGGUAAGAACUAUUUUGAAUGGCCUCAAUCUAUGAAGCUCGUCAUCGACAGCAAAGGCAAACUAGGUUUUUCGAAUGGUGAAGAAUGACAACCUGCUGGAUAUGAUCUGAAAGUAAAGAUAUGGCGAUCUCAAAAUUCCAUGAUAACAGCUUGGUUAAUUAACUCAAUGGAGCCAGGAAUUGGCAUACCAUUCCUUUAUUUGCCAACAGCCAAAGAUGUAUGUGAUGAUGUUCAGCAAACAUACUCAAAUAUUGAGAAUUCUUCUCAAAUCUUUGAGUUAAAAUCAAAGUUAUGGCAUUCCAAGCAAGGCAAUCGCAAAGUCACGGACUAUUACAACGAACUCGUGAUUAUUUGGCAAGAAUUAGAUCUUUGCUAGAAUGAAGAAUGGAAAGCCCCAAAGACAGUGCAAGGCACAAAAAGCUGAUAGUGUGAACGGGUCUACGUGUUUCUCGCUAGUCUAAACCAGGAACUUGAUGAGGUGCGGCGUAGAAUCAUUGGAUGUAAGCCUCUUCCAGGGAUUCGUGUUGUGUUCUUUAAGGUUAGACGAGAAGAGUGAAGAAGAAUUUGUGAUGCUGAACAGCAACCUGGAAACAGAGUGCUCUACUCUUGCCACCAGCAGUUCUGAACAGCAAACUUGUGAAGAUAAACUAAGUGAAAAUAAAUAAAUAAAUAAAUAAAAAUAAAGAAAACCAUGGUGCGAUCAAUGUAAGCAUCAUUGGCACACAAGGGAGACUUAUUGGAAGUUACAUGGUA
rnacentral:lncRNA from 1 species